GUUGGUAUAGCUUAAGUGGCAGAGCACAUGCUUAGCAUGCACGAGGUCCUGGGUUCAAUCCCCAGUAUCUCCU
rnacentral:tRNA from 1 species